rnacentral:tRNA from 1 species
GGGAAUAGCUCAGUUGGUAGAGCAUCAGCUUCCCAAGCUGAGGGUCGCGGGUUCGAGCCCCGUUUCCC